GGGGAAUAUUGGACAAUGGGCGCAAGCCUGAUCCAGCCAUGCCGCGUGAGUGAUGAAGGCCUUAGGGUUGUAAAGCUCUUUUAUCCGGGACGAUAAUGACGGUACCGGAAGAAUAAGCCCCGGCUAACUUCGUGCCAGCAGCCGCGGUAAUACGAAGGGGGCUAGCGUUGCUCGGAAUCACUGGGCGUAAAGGGCGCGUAGGCGGACAUUUAAGUCAGGGGUGAAAUCCCGGGGCUCAACCUCGGAAUUGCCUUUGAUACUGGGUGUCUCGAGACCGGAAGAGGUAAGUGGAACUGCGAGUGUAGAGGUGAAAUUCGUAGAUAUUCGCAAGAACACCAGUGGCGAAGGCGGCUUACUGGUCCGGUUCUGACGCUGAGGCGCGAAAGUGUGGGGAGCAAAC
rnacentral:rRNA from 1 species